AACGAACGCUGGCGGCAGGCUUAACACAUGCAAGUCGAGCGCCCCGCACGGGGAGCGGCAGACGGGUGAGUAACGCGUGGGAACGUACCUUUUGGUUCGUAACAACUCCGGGAAACUGGAGCUAAUACCGGAUAAGCCCUAACGGGGAAAGAUUUAUCGCCGAAAGAUCGGCCCGCGUCUGAUUAGCUGGUUGGUGAGGUAACGGCUCACCAAGGCGACGAUCAGUAGCUGGUCUGAGAGGAUGAUCAGACACACUGGGACUGAGACACGGCCCAGACUCCUACGGGAGGCAGAAGUGGGGAAUAUUGGACAAUGGGCGCAAGCCUGAUCCAGCCAUGCCGCGUGAGUGAUGAAGGCCUUAGGGUUGUAAAGCUCUUUUGUCCGGGAAGAUAAUGACUGUACCGGAAGAAUAAGCCCCGGCUAACUUCGUG
rnacentral:rRNA from 1 species